AACUUUCAGCAAGGGAUCUCUUGUCUCUCGCAUCGAUGAAGAACGCAUCGAAAUGCGAUACGUAAUGUGAAUUGCAGAGUUCAGUGAAUCAUCGAAUCUUUGAACGCACCUUGCACCCUUUGGCAUUCCGAAGGGUAUGCUCGUUUGAGUGUCAUUGUACUCUCACCCUCCCGAUGCUUUUGGAUCGGGAGCGGUGGACUUGGGCGUUGCUGCUUUACUGUGGCUCGCCUCAAAUGGAGUAGUGCAACUCUUGGUUGGACAUAGUACGGCGUGAUAAGGGUCUUCGCCGGCGCCUCACUAGAGGGUGGCUGAUCGGGAGCUCUGUGCUUCAAACCGUCUUCGGACAAUGACUGACAACUUGACCUCAAAUCGAGUAGGACCACCCGCUGAACUUAAGCAUAUCAAUAAGCGGAGGCU
rnacentral:misc_RNA from 1 species